rnacentral:rRNA from 1 species
UACGACUACAUAUCAGGCAUAUCAAUAAGCGGAGGAAAAGAAACUAACAAGGAUUCCCCUAGUAACGGCGAGUGAAGCGGGAAGAGCUCAAAUUUGAAAUCUUAAAGGUUCUACCUUGACGAAUUGUAGUUUAAAGAAGUGUUUUCUGUUAGAGUUCGGUAGCAAAGUUCCUUUGGAAUAGGGACGUCAUAGAGGGUGAGAAUCCCGUAUUUGACCGUUAUCUUUCUAGCUUUGUGAUACACUUUCAAAGAGUCGGAUUGUUUGGGAAUGCAGUCCAAAGAUGGGUGGUAAAUUUCAUCUAAAGCUAAAUAUUGGCGAGAGACCGAUAGCGAACAAGUACCGUGAGGGAAAGAUGAAAAGAACUUUGAAAAGAGAGUUAAACAGUACGUGAAAUUGUCAAAAGGGAAGGCGUUUGACACCAGUGUUGUUUUUCCGAAAAUCAAUUAAGAAGGGCUUGAUUUUGUGUUGUAUUGACCUUAUCAGCUUUCUUCACUCUUUUUCGAGUCUUUCUUAAUGCACUUUUCGGUUAACAAGUCAACAUCAAUUUCUUUUGUUGUAAAAGGGUAUUUGGAAGGUGGCUUUCUUUUCGGAGAAAGUGUUUAUAGCCUUAUACCUCUACAAUCGGAGAGAUUGAGGUCUGCAGCGUAGAUCCUUCGGGGCUAGAUACACUUGUGCUAAGUUAUAGCUUUUCAUAGACAACUUGUUGACUAUGUUUAGUCAUGUAGCUUACCCGCUUGUGCUAUUUUACCUACGCUUAGGAUGUUGAUCUACAGAGCGAGAGU